rnacentral:rRNA from 1 species
CCUACGGGGUGCAGCAGUGGGGAAUAUUGGGCAAUGGGCGCAAGCCUGACCCAGCAACGCCGCGUGAAGGAAGAAGGCUUUCGGGUUGUAAACUUCUUUUGUCAGGGACGAAGCAAGUGACGGUACCUGACGAAUAAGCCACGGCUAACUACGUGCCUGCAGCCGCGGUAAUACGUAGGUGGCAAGCGUUAUCCUGAUUUGUUGGGUGUAAAGGGCGUGUAGGCGGGAAUGCAAGUCAGAUGUGAAAACUAUGGGCUCAACCCAUAGCCUGCAUUUGAAACUGUAUUUCUUGAGUGCUGGAGAGGCAAUCGGAAUUCCGGGUGUAGCGGUGAAAUGCGUAGAUAUACGGAGGAACACCAGUGGCGAAGGCGGAUUGCUGGACAGUAACUGACGCUGAGGCGCGAAAGCGUGGGGAGCAAACAGGAUUAGAUACCCCUGUAGUC